rnacentral:rRNA from 1 species
UACGUAGGUGGCAAGCGUUGUCCGGAUUUACUGGGUGUAAAGGGCGCGUAGGCGGGUAUGCAAGUCAGAUGUGAAAUACCGGGGCUUAACCCCGGAGCUGCAUUUGAAACUGUGUAUCUUGAGUAUCGGAGAGGCAGGCGGAAUUCCUAGUGUAGCGGUGAAAUGCGUAGAUAUUAGGAGGAACACCAGUGGCGAAGGCGGCCUGCUGGACGACAACUGACGCUGAGGCGCGAAAGCGUGGGGAG